rnacentral:rRNA from 1 species
AAAUGAAUUGACGGGGGCCCGCACAAGCGGUGGAGCAUGUGGUUUAAUUCGAAGCUACGCGAAGAACCUUACCAGGUCUUGACAUCUUGCGCUAACCUCAGAGAUGAGACGUUCCCUUCGGGGACGCAAUGACAGGUGGUGCAUGGUCGUCGUCAGCUCGUGUCGUGAGAUGUUGGGUUAAGUCCCGCAACGAGCGCAACCCUUGUUAUUAGUUGCCAGCAUUCAGUUGGGCACUCUAAUGAGACUGCCGGUGACAAACCGGAGGAAGGUGGGGACGACGUCAGAUCAUCAUGCCCCUUAUGACCUGGGCUACACACGUGCUACAAUGGGCAGUACAACGAGUUGCGAACCUGUGAAGGCAAGCUAAUCUCUUAAAGCUGUUCUCAGUUCGGACUGUAGGCUGCAACUCGCCUACACGAAGUCGGAAUCGCUAGUAAUCGCGGAUCAGCAUGCCGCGGUGAAUACGUUCCCGGGCCUUGCACACACCGCCCGU